rnacentral:rRNA from 2 species
AUACCGGCAGCUCGAGUGAUGACCGAUUUUAUUGGGCCUAAAGCGUCCGUAGCCGGCCGGGCAAGUUCGUCGGGAAAUCUACCAGCUCAACUGGUAGGCGUCCGACGAAAACUGCUCGGCUUGGGACAGGGAGACUCAAGAAGUACGUCCGGGGUAGGAGUGAAAUCCCGUAAUCCUGGACGGACUACCGAUGGCGAAAGCAUCUUGAGAGAACUGCUCCGACGGUCAGGGACGAAAGCUGGGGUCUCGAACCGGAUUAGAUACCCGGGUAGUCCCAGCUGUAAACGAUGCUCGUUAGGUGCGACGCAGACUACGCGUCUGUGUUGUGCCGUAGGGAAGCCGAGAAACGAGCCGCCUGGGAAGUACGUCCGCAAGGAUGAA